AUUGAACGCUGGCGGCAUGCCUUACACAUGCAAGUCGAACGGUAACAGGUCUUCGGAUGCUGACGAGUGGCGAACGGGUGAGUAAUACAUCGGAACGUGCCCGAGAGUGGGGGAUAACGAGGCGAAAGCUUUGCUAAAACCGCAUACGAUCUCAGGAUGAAAGAAGGGGACCGCAAGGCAUUGCGCCCACGGAGCGGCAGAUGGCAGAUUUGGUAAUUGGUGGGAUAAAAGCUUACCAAGCCGACGAUCUGUAGCGGGUCUGAGAGGACGACCAUCUACACUGUGACUAAGACACGGGCCAGACUCCUACGGGAGGCAGCAGUGAGGAAUUUUGGACAAUGGGCGCAAGCCUGAUCCAGCCAUGCCGCGUGCAGGAUGAAGGCCUUCGGGUUGUAAACUGCUUUUGUACGGAACGAAAAGACUCUGGUUAAUACCUGGGGUCCAUGACGGUACCGUAAGAAUAAGCACCUGCUAACUACGUGCCAGCCGCCGCAGUAACAC
rnacentral:rRNA from 1 species